GGCCCCCCACGGAGAAUGGNACCUGCGGCUUAAUUUGACUCAACACGGGAAAUCUCACCAGGCCCGGACACCGGAAGGAUUGACAGAUUGAGAGCUCUUUCUUGAUUCGGUGGGUGGUGGUGCAUGGCCGUUCUUAGUUGGUGGAGCGAUUUGUCUGGUUAAUUCCGAUAACGAACGAGACUCUGGCCUACUAACUAGACGUUAGAUCCCUUUGUGGGUCUAUCGCAGCUUCUUAGAGGGACGGGCGGCGUUUAGCCGCACGAGAUUGAGCAAUAACAGGUCUGUGAUGCCCUUAGAUGUUCUGGGCUGCACGCGCGCUACACUGAAGGAAUCAGCGUGUGUUCCCUGUCCGAAAGGACUGGGAAACCCGUUGAACCUCCUUCGUGAUGGGGAUUGGGGAUUGCAAUUAUUCCCCAUGAACGAGGAAUUCCCAGUAGGCGCGAGUCAUAAGCUGGCGUCGAUUACGUCCCUGCGCUUUGUACACACCGCCCGUCGCUACUACCGAUCGAGUGAUUUAGU
rnacentral:rRNA from 1 species